rnacentral:rRNA from 1 species
ACUUCCAACAAUGGAUCUCUUGGCUCUCGCAUCGAUGAAAAACGCAGCAAAAUGCGAUAAGUAAUAUGAAUUGCAAAAUUCCGUGAAUCAUCAAAUUUUUGAACGCAAAUUGCACUUCUUGGUAUUCCGAGGAAUUACACAUGCUUGAGGGUCCAGUU